rnacentral:rRNA from 1 species
UACAGAGGGGGCAAGCGUUGUUCGGAAUUACUGGGCGUAAAGGGCGCGUAGGCGGCCUGUUAAGUCGAACGUGAAAUCCCCGGGCUCAACCCGGGAACUGCGUCCGAUACUGGCAGGCUUGAAUCCGGGAGAGGGAUGCGGAAUUCCACGUGUAGCGGUGAAAUGCGUAGAGAUGUGGAGGAACACCUGUGGCGAAGGCGCCUUGCUGGCCGAUUUCUGACGCUGAGGCGCGAAAGCGUGGGGAGCAAACAGG